rnacentral:sRNA from 1 species
GCUGGAGUAUGGAGUAGUAAAUGGUAUCCAGAAAGGCAGGUCUACAGUGGCAUAUGGGAUUUCCUGGUACUUCUUUAAUAGAAACUAUCUUCACAGAUCAUGACAUCAGGUCAGCUGCAGUUCUCACUGGGACCAAUAAACAAUAGAAGCAACAACCAUAAAGACUUAAGAGGACAAAGGAAACCAAACCUCACUGUGUGUCUUCAAGAUCUGUUCACAUAGUUGCAGGAAGUUGCUGUAGACAAAGUACAUUACUAAAGAAUGAAGCCCACCCAGGACAUCACAGCAACGAAAGAACUAUUUCUGGUAACCGUGGACCAGGUGAGAGCUACACUGUAGAACAGCAGUGCUGCCCUCUCUUCUUUGGCGAAUGUUAUGAAGACAUUCUUAUGCACUUAGGAUCAUGAUUCAUGUUAAAUGUAAAUCAAUCAUAAAAAUAAUACAUCUUGCUCCAAAAUGUGGUGACAAUUUAGAAGCUGUCUACAUAGCCAGACCACUCUGUAAAUCACAGAACCUAGAAAGUAAAAAUGUGCCAUAAUUAGGACAGCAGAAAUUAACAGUAAAAUAAAGUUUAAA